rnacentral:lncRNA from 1 species
GGGGCUUGCAGGGGUGCCUGGGUCGGGGGCUGCAGGUGGGAGUGAGCAAAUGUGCUGUCUCGCCACCUCGGGACAGGUGGUAGGGCCUCUGACACAGAGUGGUCCUUCCUGCUGUUCACAGCUCAGCUCACCGUGGGCUGACCAUAGAUUCUCGUUGAAAUCCUAACGCCCCAGGCAAUGAUGUUAGGAGGCGGGGCUUCUGGGAGAUGGCAAGUUCGUGAGGCUGCAGCUCUGCUGGGGGAUCAGUGUCCUUCUACAAGCGGCUCCAGGGAGGUCCCUUGCCCCUUCCACCAUGUGAGGACCCGAGAUGGUGCCGUCUAUGAACCGGGAAGUGAGUCCUCUCCGGACGUGGAACAAGUUGGUGCCUUGAUUUUGAACUUGCAGCCUCCAGCUUCAUGGGGUUUAAGUACGAUGAUGCUGCAUUGAGACGUUGUACUGUGUGAAGUCAGGGCCUUCUGUGCAUCGGUCGAGGGUGCAAUGCACACGGCACCCCCGAGCAGCCACCCAUCCUCCCUUCCCUCCACCCUGCGAGGCCCCGUUGUCCGUCUGUCCACACUCUGCUCCAUGAGCACACGUGACUUAGCUUCGCCUUGUGAGCCGCUGCUUGGGGUGAGCAUGCUUCCUGCUGGAUGCUUCUCUAUGUAAGCACCUGCCUGAGUGUCAGCCCUCUUAAGGUG